UGGUAUUCAGCCAGUUCACAAUGGUUCUGGCGACCCGGUAGCAAGAAUUUGGCAUGGGUCGUGGAACUGGUAGCAACUUCUGGCUGACCACGCCCCCGAACCAGUACGUCAGAGGCACUGCCCUGGCCCUUAAUCUCCUCACUUCCUCCCCUACGACUGCCUCUUGCAUCAUCUGUGGCC